AUUGAACGCUGGCGGCAUGCCUUACACAUGCAAGUCGAACGGCAGCAUGGAAGAGCUUGCUCUUCUGAUGGCGAGUGGCGAACGGGUGAGUAAAGCAUCGGAACGUACCGUGUAGUGAGGGAUAACGUAGCGAAAGUUACGCUAAUACCGCAUACGCACUGAGGUGGAAAGCAGGGGAUCGCAAGACCUUGCGCUAUACGAGCGGCCGAUGUCAGAUUAGCUAGUUGGUAGGGUAAAGGCCUACCAAGGCGACGAUCUGUAGCGGGUCUGAGAGGAUGAUCCGCCACACUGGGACUGAGACACGGCCCAGACUCCUACGGGAGGCAGCAGUGGGGAAUUUUGGACAAUGGGGGAAACCCUGAUCCAGCCAUGCCGCGUGAGUGAAGAAGGCCUUCGGGUUGUAAAGCUCUUUCGGCUGGGAAGAAAUCGCACAGGCUAAUACUCUGUGUGGAUGACGGUACCAGCACAAGAAGCACCGGCUAACUACGUGCCAGCAGCCGCGGUAACAC
rnacentral:rRNA from 1 species